rnacentral:tRNA from 1 species
UUAGAAUAUUUGCUCACAACACCUCUUAUUGAGGACUCAUAAUCCUUUGGUCGCUGGUUCGAGCCCAGCACGGCCUACCA